UAUGUUCUACAGCCCAUGCUUUCUGAAAAUUACUUCCUUCUUUUCAAAGUUAUGUAAUCAAUGAAAAAGUAAUGAUAAUGUGUAGUUGGUUUAAAUAAUAUAACAUAGCUAUCAAUGUGUGUUUACAAUAUAAUUUUUUCAUGUCAGUAAAAAAAAGAGUUGUUGGAAAGCAUAUAUAGGGACUAAUUUUAUUUAAUGUCGGUUCAUUUUCAUUCUUGCUGGUUUAUAAGUUUGACCUUUCUUGAUGCAUUUUAUCAAGUAUUCUAGGAUUACAAUGGCAUUACUAACUAAGCAGGUUGGAAUGAAGUCAUCAAUGCAUGCAGACAACAAGUAUGCUCUGUUCCUUGAUCAAUUGGAGAACUCACUCGUGAGAUAGAAAGGGAUCCUGAGAUGUCUCAUGAAGAAAAGAUUUGGACCAAGGUGUCUCAAAUGAGAUGGCUGCACAAAUUACAUCAAUUCAGGGGCAGAGAAGACAACAAAAGAUGAGGCUUAAUAUGAUUUGGCAAGAUGUUACUUGGAGAGUUUGGCUUGCAAGGAAUGCGCAAAUUUUCCACAACAAGGCUUCAAGGCAAUUAAGCAUGUAACUUUGGAGUGGUUUAUUUUUUCUAGCUACGCUGAUGUCUGUAGCUUUUAUGAAUGGGAUGGAUAUCCAUUUGAUUGUUUAUCUAGGUAAGGAUUUGUUUCUUUUUCAAGGUUUAAAACCUUCUGUUUCUGGUUUUGGUUCUUGGGUAUUUCUUGUUCUUUAGAUCCCUUGUUUGGUGGUUGGAUUGAGUACCA